UCGCCGUGGCGGCCAUCUGCCGUCUCCCCGGGGCUAUAAGGCGGCCCCGACGCCUCUCCCUCGCGCCCCCGAACCCUAUCCCUCAUCCCCUUCUCCCUCGCGCCGUUUUCCCUCUCCUCCCCGCAACAAGCCGAAGCUCCGUCGUCAUGGCCGUCGCCAACCUCGCGCCCAUCAUCGUCCCCGCCACCUAGGACGGCACCAGGGGCUCCGACGACCUCGUCCACGUCAACUCCAAGGGCCAGAUCGAGAUCAUCGCCCCUCUGUGGAUUGGAUCGACCUCGUCUUCUUCCACGGGCGCCGCCGGAGAUCUUCUUCGGUCCCAUCCGCCCUGCAGCUCCUAAGCUAACACCGAGCCUCCUUGUGCUCCUCGAUGGUGGAUCCAUGGAGCCAGAUGCCACCCCCGCCGACUACUACUACUACCCAGAGGCUGCCUUCUACUACGUGGAGCCUGCCGAUGACCAGGAGUAGUUAGGAGGUCCCAGGAAGGAGGCCUUGCCUCUUCGAUCGUUGAUGUUUGCGCUAGCCUUCUUAAGGCAAAACUUGUUUAACUUAUGUCUGUACUCAGAUAUUGUUGCUUCCGCUGACUCUUGUGCUUUCGAGCUAUGUAUUCAAGCCCUCGAGGCCCCUGGCUUGUAAUAUGAAGUUUGUAUGACUUUCAUUUGUGUCUAAA